GACGAACGCUGGCGGCGUGCUUAACACAUGCAAGUCGAACGGUGAAGCGCCUUCCUUUUUGGUGGGUGUGGAUGAGUGGCGAACGGGUGAGUAACACGUGAGUAACCUGCCCCCUUCUUCUGGAUAACCGCAUGAAAGUGUGGCUAAUACGGGAUAUUCUGUGUCUGUCGCAUGAUGGGUCUGGGGAAGAUAUUGUUUCGGAGGGGGAUGGGAUCGCGGCCUAUCAGGUUGUUGGUGGGGUGGUGGCCUACCAAGGCGGUGACGGGUAGCCGGCCUGGGAGGGUGGACGGUCAUAGAGGGAAGAAGACAUGGCGAAGACUCCGACAGGCGGCAGCGGUGGAUAAUAGUGAACAGUGGGCGGAAGGCUGAUGCAGCGACGCGGCGGGGGAGAUGGAGGCCGGCGUGUUGAGAACCUCUGUCGCGAGUGAAGCGGACCUGCCUCGUUUGUGGGUGGGUUGACGGUAGCUAGAGAAGAAGCGCCGGCUAACUACGUG
rnacentral:rRNA from 1 species